UUUUUUUAUACUGUCCGUCGUCCCUUUAGUACGAAACAAAACAAAAGUGAUUUGAUUGCGUUCCCGAGCGUGCGGUCCCAGUUACAUUGUCGCGAUCUUCAGAGUCGCAGGAUUAGAAUUUAUACUUACCAAUAAGCAGAUCUUUAUCGUCGAACUUGUGACUGAGUGAGUGAGCAAAAGCCUCCGCUGAUAUUUUUCUUAGAGAUGAAUUGCCUUCAGAAUCUUCCCAGAUCCUCAGUCUCACCUUUGUAUGGCUUUGGGGGCAAUCAAAGAGUCCCUUCUUGGCUUUCUUCUUUGAAGAUGAUGAUGCUACCGAUCAAAGCCAAUGAUCUUAAAUUGCGACUUGUCUUACAGGCGGUAUCAGAUUCGAAAUCCACCAGCGCAGAGGUGAGUGGUGUUUCAAACAAGGAGGAGGAAGAGAAAUCUGAUGAAUAUAGCCAAGACAUGACUCAAGCUAUGGGUGCUGUUUUAACCUACAGGCACGAGUUGGGAAUGAACUACAGCUUUGUUCGUCCUGAUUUAAUUGUUGGAUCUUGCUUACAGACCCCUGAAGAUAUUGACAAGCUCCGUAAGAUUGGGGUCAAAACCAUAUUCUGCUUGCAACAAGAUCCUGACUUGGAAUAUUUUGGAGUAGAUAUAAGCAGCAUUCAAGCAUAUGCCAAGACCUUUACUGAUAUUCAGCAUAUUCGCUGUCAAAUAAGAGACUUUGAUGCGUUUGAUUUGAGACUGCGUCUUCCUGCCGUGGUUAGCACACUAUACAAAGCUGUUAAGCGAAACGGAGGAGUUACAUACGUACACUGCACUGCUGGAAUGGGAAGGGCUCCUGCUGUUGCGUUGACAUACAUGUUCUGGGUGCAAGGCUAUAAACUUAUGGAAGCUCACAAAUUACUUAUGAGCAAACGAACGUGCUCUCCGAACCUUGAUGCUAUCAGAAAUGCAACAAUUGAUAUUCUUACAGGACUCAAGAAGAAGAUUGUUACACUGACACUGAAAGACAAAGGGUUCUCCACAGUAGAAGUUUCUGGCCUUGACAUUGGAUGGGGACAGAGGAUACCUCUGACACUGGACAAGGGAACAGGACUUUGGAGCCUAGAUAGAGAACUGCCUGAAGGACAAUUUGAAUAUAAAUAUAUCAUAGACGGUGAAUGGACACACAAUGAGCUCGAGCCGUUCACAGGACCUAACAAAGAUGGUCAUACCAACAAUUACGUAAAAGUAAAAUGUGGUGGAUGAUCCAACGAGCGUGGAUGGUGCAACAAGGGAGAGGUUAUCGAGUGAAGACCCUGAGCUUUUGGAGGAGGAACGCUUGAAACUAAUCCAGUUCUUGGAGACUUGUUCUGAACAACCACAAGUUUGAGACUUGAGAGCAAUCCUUGUGAAUGUACCACCCACUUACUAGUAACAAUAAUUAAUAAAAUGCUUUUAUGUUGGUAAUACAUAAAGUUACGUUUACAGCAAAAAAAGACAUGAAGUUACUUGUACACUUGUACUAUGUUCAAGUAUAAUUUUAUUAGAUAAAGAGUUUAAAGA